UAGAGGAUGCUUCGGCGGCGGCGGCGGUCUAAGUCCCUUGGAACAGGGCGUCAUAGAGGGUGAGAAUCCCGUAUGUGACCGGCGACCCAUGCCAGGUGAAGCUCCUUCGACGAGUCGAGUUGUUUGGGAAUGCAGCUCAAAAUGGGUGGUAAAUUUCAUCUAAAGCUAAAUACCGGCCAGAGACCGAUAGCGCACAAGUAGAGUGAUCGAAAGAUGAAAAGCACUUUGGAAAGAGAGUCAAACAGUACGUGAAAUUGUUGAAAGGGAAGCGCUUGCGACCAGACCUGCCCGCGGACGCUCAGCGGGGGGCCUCCCCCCGUGCACUCGCCCGUGAUCAGGCCAGCAUCGGUUCGGGCGGCCGGACAAAGGCCCCAGGAAUGUGGCUCCCCUCCGGGGGAGUGUUAUAGCCCGGGGCGCCAUGCGGCCAGCCUGGACCGAGGAACGCGCUUCGGCGAGGAUGCUGGCUUAAUGGUUGCAAGCGACCCGUCUUGAAACACGGACCAAGGAGUCUAACAUCUAUGCGAGUGUUUGGGUGUCAAACCCAUGCGCGCAAUGAAAGUGAACGGAGGUGGGAGCCCUGAAGGGUGCACCAUCGACCGAUCCUGAAGUUUACGGAUGGAUUUGAGUAUGAGCAUAGCUGUUGGGACCCGAAAGAUGGUGAACUAUGCCUGAAUAGGGUGAAGCCAGAGGAAACUCUGGUGGAGGCUCGCAGCGGUUCUGACGUGCAAAUCGAUCGUCAAAUUUGGGUAUAGGGGCGAAAGACUAAUCGAACCAUCUAGUAGCUGGUUCCUG
rnacentral:rRNA from 1 species